ACAAACCAUCAACAUUACCUUUAUUCAACAUGCUGUCACUGCAGCAUUGUGUGUUUUAUCUGAUGCUUCUCUCCAUCCUCACAGGUGUCAGCUGUGAUGAACUCACUCCAGUUGAGACAGAAAAGAAAAGUUUAGAAGGCAGCUCUGUUACUCUGUCCUACAGAUACUCCAAACAAGCUAAAUAUGAUGAUUAUUUCUUCUGGUAUCGACAUUAUCCAGGAAAACCACCAGAUUUUCUCAUCUUUCACUCUGUAACGCAAGAUGAAACAAAGUCUGGACUGUCUGUUUCUAUCUCCUCUGCUGCAGUGUCUGACUCUGCUGUGUACUACUGUGCUGUGAGGCCCACAGUGACAGGAAACCCACAGUCUCUGUACACAAAACCUUUAGAACAAAGAUAA